AGCUUAAAACACCGGUUUCCCUACGAUGGCCGAAGUUAAGCAACGUCGAGCCUGGCCAGUACCUAGAUGGGUGACCGCUUGAGAAUACCAGGUGCUGUGA